rnacentral:lncRNA from 1 species
AUGCUACUUACACAUUUUACAAUCUUUAUUUUGAUGUGUGGAUUUUAUUCCCGAUUUCAUGCUAUCGCACAUGCACAAAUUCAAACAGUUCAGACCCAAAAAGAAGUUCAGCGUGGAUCUGACGUGUCUUUGCGAUGUGAUGUCCGUCUUCUGUCUAAAUCCUCCACAUUGAACUGGGAGAAAGAUGGAGAACACACACCCAACAGCACUCUGAUGUACAACAACUCUGCCUACAUCAUCUUACACACCGUUGAUGAACGCAAUAAAGGGAAUUAUUACUGUAGAUUGAUGGAAGAUGGAAGCGUACAAACUGUUAGGAUUCACACACUUAAUGUUACUUCAAGUUAGUACUUUUACGUUAUUAUGUUAUUCUUACAUUUACAUUACAUUUACAUUUAAUCAUUUAGCAGACGACUCUGCCUACAUCAUCUUACACACCGCUGAUGAACGCAAUAAAGGGAAUUAUUACUGUAGAUUGAUGGAAGAUGGAAGCGUACAAACUGUUAGGAUUCACACACUUAAUGUUACUUCAAGUAAGUACUUUUACGUUAUUAUGUUAUUCUUACAUUUACAUUACAUUUACAUUUAAUCAUUUAGCAGACGCUUUUAUCCAAAGUGACUUACAAAUGAGAACAGUAGAAACAAUUCAGAUCAACAAGAGAACAACAACGGUAUACAAGUGCUAUGACAAGUCUCAGUUAGUCUAGUACAGAACACGUAGCAAGGUUUUUUUUUUUUAAGAAUAUAAUAUGAUAGUAUUAGUUGGUUAAGUGCAGGCGAAAAAGAUGAGUCUUAGAUGUUUUUGAAAUGAGUAAGCUCAGCUGUCGAAUUGAGAUCGGGAGUCAUUCCACAACCUGAUGAGGAGAGGAGUAACAUGAGCUGUUUUGGCUCAUUGAAG